CUCAGAUUGAACGCUGGCGGCAGGCCUAACACAUGCAAGUCGAGCGGUAGCACAGAGAGCUUGCUCUCGGGUGACGAGCGGCGGACGGGUGAGUAAUGUCUGGGAAACUGCCUGAUGGAGGGGGAUAACUACUGGAAACGGUAGCUAAUACCGCAUAACGUCGCAAGACCAAAGUGGGGGACCUUCGGGCCUCAUGCCAUCAGAUGUGCCCAGAUGGGAUUAGCUAGUAGGUGGG
rnacentral:rRNA from 1 species